rnacentral:misc_RNA from 1 species
GAUGAAGAACGUAGCGAAAUGCGAUACGUAAUGUGAAUUGCAGAAUUCAGUGAAUCAUCGAAUCUUUGAACGCAUAUUGCGCUCUCUGGUAUUCCGGAGAGCAUGCUUGUUUGAGUAUCAGUAAACACCUCAACCCCCUUUUCUUUUUUGAAAUGGGAGCUGGACUUGAGUGAUCCCAACGCUUUUCUCACCGGAAAGUGGCGGGUUACUUGAAAUGCAGGUGCAGCUGGACUUUUCUCUGAGCUAUAAGCAUAUCUAUUUAGUCUGCCUAAAAACAGAUUAUUACCUUUGCUGCAGCUAACAUAAAGGAGAUUAGUUCUUGUGCUGACUGAUGCAGGAUUCACAGAGACAGCUUCGGCUGACUUUGUAAACUCGAUCUCAAAUCAAGUAAGACUACCCGCUGAACUUAAGCAUAUCAAUAAGCGGAGGA